UACGAAGGGGGCUAGCGUUGUUCGGAAUCACUGGGCGUAAAGCGCACGUAGGCGGAUUGUUAAGUCGGGGGUGAAAUCCUGAGGCUCAACCUCAGAACUGCCUUCGAUACUGGCGAUCUUGAGUCCGGAAGAGGUUGGUGGAACAGCUAGUGUAGAGGUGAAAUUCGUAGAUAUUAGCUAGAACACCAGUGGCGAAGGCGGCCAGCUGGUCCGGAACUGACGCUGAGGUGCGAAAGCGUGGGGAGCAAACAGG
rnacentral:rRNA from 1 species